rnacentral:rRNA from 1 species
AUUGAACGCUGGCGGCAUGCCUUACACAUGCAAGUCGAACGGCAGCACGGGAGCAAUCCUGGUGGCGAGUGGCGAACGGGUGAGUAAUAUAUCGGGAACGUGCCCAGUCGUGGGGGAUAACGUAGCGAAAGCUACGCUAAUACCGCAUACGAUCUAUGGAUGAAAGCGGGGGAUCGCAAGACCUCGCGCGAUUGGAGCGGCCGAUAUCAGAUUAGGUAGUUGGUGGGGUAAAAGCCUACCAAGCCUUCGAUCUGUAGCUGGUCUGAGAGGACGACCAGCCACACUGGAACUGAGACACGGUCCAGACUCCUACGGGAGGCAGCAGUGGGGAAUUUUGGACAAUGGGCGCAAGCCUGAUCCAGCCAUGCCGCGUGAGUGAAGAAGG